rnacentral:rRNA from 1 species
GUGCCAGCAGCCGCGGUAAUACGGAGGGUGCAAGCGUUACUCGGAAUCACUGGGCGUAAAGGACGAGUAGGCUGGCGGUCAAGUCUGAUGUGAAAUCCUACAGCUUAAACUGUAGAACUGCAUUGGAAACUGACCGCCUAGAGUAUGGGAGGGGGAGAUGGAAUUAGUGGUGUACGGGGUAAAAUCCGUAGAUAUCACUAGGAAUACCUAAAGCGAAGGCGAUCUCCUGGAACAUUACUGACGCUAAGGCGUGAAAGCGUGGGGAGCAAACGGGAUUAGAUACCCCGGUAGUCCACGCCCUAAACGAUGAACACUAGUCGUCGGGAAGCUUGUCUUCUCGGUGAUGCACUUAACAGAUUAAGUGUUCCGCCUGGGGAGUACGGUCGCAGAGAUUAAAACUCAAAGGAAUAGACGGGGACCCGCACAAGUGGUGGAGCAUGUGGUUUAAUUCGACGAUACGCGAAGAACCUUACCUGGCCUUGACAUUGAUUGAAUACACCAGAGAUGGAGUUAGUGCCCUUCGGGGAGCAUGAAAACAGGUGCCUGUCACGGCUGUCGUCAGCUCGUGUCGUGAGAUGUUGGGUUAAGUCCCGCAAGCGAGCGCAACCCCUCGUCCUUAGUUUGCCCAGGCAAGGUUAAGCUGGGGCAACUCCUAGGGAAGACUGCCUUUCGUAAGGAGGGAGGAAGGUGAGGAACGACGUCAAGUCAUCAUGGCCCUUACGGCCAGGGCUACACACGUGCUACAAUGGGGCGUACAGAGUGUUGCGAUACCCCAAGGUGGAGACUAAUCACUAAAAGCGUCCCUCAGUUCGGAUUGGAGUCUGCAACUCCGACUCCAUGAAGCUGGAAUCACUAGUAAUCGUAGAUCAGCAAUGCUACGGGGAAUACGUUCCCGGGUCUUGUACUCACCGCCCGU